UAGGGUUUCUGUGAAGGAUGAAGGAUGAAGGUUGAUUGGGUAGAAAACGAGAGAGGCUAUGUUGGCUAAGGGGAAACCGAUUGUGUUGGAGAAGGUGAGGUUAUAUGUACAGAGUAUGGCAAAGGGUGAUUUGGAGGUCA